rnacentral:rRNA from 1 species
AGAAUCAACGCUGGCGGCGUGCCUAACACAUGCAAGUCGCACGAGAAAGGGGCUUCGGCCCUGAGUAAAGUGGCGCACGGGUGAGUAACACGUGAAUUAUCUACCUCCGAGUGGGGAAUAACCUAGAGAAAUCUGGGCUAAUACCGCAUAACACUUACGAGUCAAAGCAGUAAUGCGCUUGGAGAGGAGUUCGCGGCCGAUUAGUUAGUUGGCGGGGUAAUGGCCCACCAAGACGAUGAUCGGUA